rnacentral:rRNA from 1 species
GACGAACGCUGGCGGCGUGCCUAAUACAUGCAAGUCGAACGAACCGCGACUGAGUGCUUGCACUUGGUCAAGGUGAGUGGCGAACGGGUGAGUAACACGUGGGUAACCUACCUCAUAGUGGGGGAUAACAGUCGGAAACGACUGCUAAUACCGCAUAGGACAUAGGAUCACAUGAUCCAGUGAGGAAAGGUGGCGCAAGCUAUCGCUAAGAGAUGGACCCGCGGUGCAUUAGCUAGUUGGUAGGGUAAAGGCCUACCAAGGCGAUGAUGCAUAGCCGACCUGAGAGGGUGAUCGGCCACAUUGGGACUGAGACACGGCCCAAACUCCUACGGGAGGCAGCAGUAGGGAAUCUUCCGCAAUGGUCGCAAGUCUGACGGAGCAACGCCGCGUGAGUGAAGAAGGUCUUCGGAUCGUAAAGCUCUGUUGUUAGAGAAGAACAGCGCAUAGAGUAACUGCUAUGCGUGUGACGGUAUCUAACCAGAAAGCCACGGCUAACUACGUG